rnacentral:rRNA from 1 species
CAGCAGCCGCGGGAAUACGUAGGGUGCAAGCGUUAAUCGGAAUUACUGGGCGUAAAGCGUGCGCAGGCGGUUAUAUAAGACAGAUGUGAAAUCCCCGGGCUCAACCUGGGAACUGCAUUUGUGACUGUAUAGCUAGAGUACGGCAGAGGGGGAUGGAAUUCCGCGUGUAGCAGUGAAAUGCGUAGAUAUGCGGAGGAACACCGAUGGCGAAGGCAAUCCCCUGGGCCUGUACUGACGCUCAUGCACGAAAGCGUGGGGAGCAAACAGGAUUAGAGACCCCGUGUAGUCCCUGUCUCUUAUA